rnacentral:rRNA from 1 species
AGAGUUUGAUCCUGGCUCAGGACGAACGCUGGCGGCGUGCUUAACACAUGCAAGUCGAACGAAAAUACCAAGCUUGCUUGGUUGAUUAGUGGCGAACGGGUGAGUAACACGUGAGUAACCUGCCCCUUACUUUUCUGGAUAACUGCUCGAAAGGGUAGCUAAUACGGGAUAUUCUGGCCUUCUCGCAUGGGUUGGUUUGGAAAGGUUAUUUUUUUCUGGUAAGGGAUGGGCUCGCGGCCUAUCAGCUUGUUGGUGGGGUGAUGGCCUACCAAGGCUUUGACGGGUAGCCGGCCUGAGAGGGUGGACGGUCACACUGGGACUGAGAUACGGCCCAGACUCCUACGGGAGGCAGCAGUGGGGAAUAUUGCACAAUGGGCGCAAGCCUGAUGCAGCGACGCCGCGUGAGGGAUGAAGGCCUUCGGGUUGUAAACCUCUUUCGUCAGGGAACAAGGCACUGCUUUUUGGUGGUGUUGAGGGUACCUGGAUAAGAAGCGCCGGCUAACUACGUGCCAGCAGCCGCGGUAAUACGUAGGGCGCGAGCGUUGUCCGGAAUUAUUGGGCGUAAAGAGCUCGUAGGCGGCUGGUCGCGUCUGUCGUGAAAACUUCCGGCUCAACCGGGGGCUUGCGGUGGGUACGGGCCGGCUAGAGUGCGGUAGGGGUAACUGGAACUCCUGGUGUAGCGGUGGAAUGCGCAGAUAUCAGGAAGAACACCGAUGGCGAAGGCAGGUUACUGGGCCGUUACUGACGCUGAGGAGCGAAAGCGUGGGGAGCGAACAGGAUUAGAUACCCUGGUAGUCCACGCCGUAAACGUUGGGCACUAGGUGUGAGGCUCCUUUCCGGGGGUUUUGCGCCGUAGCUAACGCAUUAAGUGCCCCGCCUGGGGAGUACGGCCGCAAGGCUAAAACUCAAAGGAAUUGACGGGGGC